GAUGAACGCUAGCGGCAGGCUUAACACAUGCAAGUCGAGGGGUAGAGUUAGCUUGCUAACCUGAGACCGGCGCACGGGUGCGUAACGCGUAUGCAAUCUACCUUGUACAGAGGGAUAGCCCAGAGAAAUUUGGAUUAAUACCUCAUAGUAUUAUUGACUGGCAUCAUUUGAUUAUUAAAGUUCCAACGGUACAAGAUGAGCAUGCGUCCCAUUAGCUAGAUGGUAAGGUAACGGCUUACCAUGGCAACGAUGGGUAGGGGUCAUGAGAGGGAGAUCCCCCACACUGGUACUGAGACACGGACCAGACUCCUACGGGAGGCAGCAGUGAGGAAUAUUGGUCAAUGGGCGCAAGCCUGAACCAGCCAUGCCGCGUGCAGGAAGACGGUCCUAUGGAUUGUAAACUGCUUUUAUACGGGAAGAAACCCUGCUACGUGUAGCAGCUUGACGGUACCGUAAGAAUAAGCAUCGGCUAACUCCGUGCCAGCCGCCGCGGUAA
rnacentral:rRNA from 1 species